rnacentral:tRNA from 5 species
UGGGGCGUCGCCAAGCGGUAAGGCACCGGCUUUUGGAGCCGGCAUUCGUAGGUUCGAAUCCUACCGCCCCAGCCA